UUUUUUUUUUUUUUUGGAUACAACUUUAAAAGGGAUUUUUUUUAAACUUUCUCUUUCUGAUAUUUCAUUGUUAGUGUAAAGAAGUUAAGCAAAUAAUCUUGUAUCUUGCAUAUUAAUCCUGUAUCUUGCUACCUUGCCGAAUUCAUCAAUUGGUUCUAAUAGUUUUUGUGUGGAGUCUUUAGGGUUUUCUACAUAGAGUAACAUAUCAUCUGCAUUGAAUGACAACUUUACCUUUCCCCUUCCGAUGUGGACACCUUUUGUUUCUUUUUCUUGUCAGAUUGCUCUGGUUAGGACUCCCAAUACUGUGCUGAAUAGAAGUAGUUCUCACCUUGUUCCACAAUUUAGCAGGAAGGCUUUCAGCUUUUUACCAUUUAGUAUUAUGCUACUGUGGGUUUGUCAUAAAUGGCUUUGAUUACGUCGAGAUACGUUCCCUCUAUAACCACUUUGGCAAGCGUUCUUAUCAAAAAUAGAUGUUGAGUUUCAUCAAAUACUUCUUCUACAUGUAUUGAGAUGUUCAUGUGUUGAACCUGGAAGGAAUCUAACUUGGUCAUGGUGUGUGAUCCUUUUUAUGUGCUGUUGGAUUCAGUUUGCUAAUAUUUUGUUGAGGAUUUUUGCAUCUAUAUUCAUCAAAGAUAUUGGCCUAUAAUUUUCUUUUUUGGUUGAAAAAGAAAAAAGAAAAGCAAACAGAAUGGAAAGAAGAAAAGAAAAUGGACAGAGUGAUAUUGUAAAGACUAUUAUUUCAUGAAAAUUUAUAUAUAGCUAGAUGAACAUGUCAUAACUUUAGCACGCAUUUCUUAGUUUGGUGAUGUUUGAAAGCCGCUGAACUAAAUGUUGCCUUGAAACUUUUCCUGUUCCAACUCUGAGUCUCCCAUUGGCUUUGAAAUCCUCUACAGAAUAAAUAAGAAAACAUUAACAGCAUGUUCUAAAGAGAAGAAAAGAGCCUACGGGUUAGAAACAAAAACAUCCACAACUCCAAAAUGAUCUCUGCCCUCUCCUUCCAGCAAGCACCUAGAAGUUGUGCAGAAACAGCCACUGCUACCCCGAGCAGUGGGUCACCUGGACUGCCUGCUGCCUGUGGGGACUGUAGAGUCUGCUCCCACCUCUGCCCAGCAGGCUACGGCAGGUGUGCUCAGGUAUUGGGGCUGGAGUUCGCCCACACUGCAGCCUCCUGGGGACCUGGACUUUGGGACACAGAGAAAAAGAAAGUGGUUCCAGGCUAAACACGUCAGCUUUACACAAGCAACCAGAAUGACCAAGAAAAAGACGUGGGCCCUCUGCUGGGCAGCGCAUCCUCCCGCUGCUCCCCGCUGUGGAGGAGGAAGGGGAGUCCCCCCCAUAGUGUCCCAGGCCCACACGGCAUCACGUAAUACCAUUCUCUGCUGCCAAAAGGCUGCAACCCACUACCACCAGGUUAAGCACUUCCAGUUCUUAUUUGCAAGGAGCCCCGUCAAAAGCUUGUUUCACAACACUUUUUGUUCAAAUUAAACUGCUUCUGCUUUAGGUUAGGAAAAAUUCCACCUGAAUAAAACGGGCACGCGGGUGCUGACCAGGUGUGCCUUUUAAGCAUGAAAGUCCAAGACUGAGCUUUCACACUUGGACCUGCUAAUAGCUGUGUAGCGGCGGGGGCAGGCCGUCCUGCCAUCAACGCCAGCGCCCCAACCUCCCCAUAACUGACCAACGUCACCAGGUCGCCCUCAGGUCACGGUGCCACAGGCAGGAAUGUUCCAUAAUUGUCCCCACCGUGCCCUUGUUGCUAUGACUGACAGUUACUCUCAAAACAGAAAGAAGCGGGAACUCCUGAUGAUUCCAGCUGUGUGGUAGGUCUGGAAAUAGGGUGGCGUUUCUACAGAUGGUGCAGGAGCAAGUGGAAAUCAGAGAGGAAAAUGAACCAUAACCGCGAGCUCACACAGCACAUUCAAGCCGGAUCAAAGGCACGUCUAAGAUGCAAAACCAUGAAACUUUCACAGGACAUAAGAGGAAGCCCUCAGGAUUUGGAUUUUGGUUCGGAAGUCUCAGCAUACUAAAAGCACCAUCCAGAAAAAGAAACUGGUGACUUGGACUUAAUCAUGAGACACCUUUGCUCAGAGACCCUGCUAAGGAAAGACACCUGUAAACAUCCCACAAAAGUCUCACAGACAGUCUCAGGGCGGCUUCCUCUCCAGUCACGGGCUUCUUCCACCUCCCCCCAUCCCCAGGUCUUUUUAAUUCAAGGACACCAAGUCUUAUUAGUGUCACAUUCUCUCCUCAGGUUUUCCAGAUGCUCUGUCAAUGAUCAAAAGUAAGAAGCAAGCAGGGCAGAGAACCCAAGACUCAGCCAGCAGGAGACACAACACCUACCUCAAUAUUACCAAAAAAAAAUCCAAAUUAAUGUAAUCAAAUCUAUGAUGAACCGUGUAUCAAAAUUUACAUGCAGACGGGACUCUCUGCUUGCCCCGCUGUCGCCCUAGUCCUGGCUCCUGGAAGAACAGGCAACGAAACUGUACACCAGCUUACGCUGUGCAAAAUAUUUAUUUACUAUUCUAUCCAUCCGUGGAAAUAAUUUCACAGACUCAAUGUGAUUUUUUAUGUUGACAGUUUAGUCAAGGGUGGUCAAGGACUGUCUGUGUGGCCCUAUGCUAGUCGCACUGAUGUGUUUCUAAAAAGACCACAUCUGGCACAGAACAGGAAAGCCCAUUUCCACCCAGGUUUACAAAGAAAGAAGAUUUGAUCCAAAUACUUUCCUUGGAAUCACUGAGCGUAAUAUCCUGUCACAAUCUGUCCUGAUCCUGACACCUGAUCCUGAUCUCAGACACUGAGCGACUGAGCACCACGCAGCACCGACCACGCGGGCGUCUGUUCGACACUGUGCUGACACAGAGGCACUACCAUGCAUUUCUGUCCAAUUUUCAUCCUGCUUUCUAUGCCCUACGAUGGGAGCGAACUCAGUUUGAAACACAGCGGGGCAGGGGGUCCAGUCUUUGGCCAUCCGUUUGCCCAACCCGCUGUUUUUACUGCUCAUCUAUUUUCUGACACCCUACAAGGCAGCGCCAGCGACGGGCGGGCGUUACAAAGGUCUGGAGCAAGUGAAGGGUGUCCAGAGCUCGGUGGGUGUUCCUUCCAGAAGGGGGGGCAGCGCACGCAUACCUAACAGCUCCCAGAGGCAAAUGGGCAGGAGGUUGCACAUGUGAAGCUAUUUCCAGCAGAGUCUGGAAGCAGCAUGGGUCAGGCAGUGCACCGAUCUGUGGAGACGAGCGCUGAAAAACGGACGAAGGUGAAGGGUUGUGCCUGUCUGUGCAUGUGUGUCUGUGUGCGCACGUGUGUGCUCGGCUGGUUUGGGCGGCUGUCUGUGAAAACAGGUGAGCGGGAUGAUAGAAAUAAAAAGGAGACAUUAAUUGUGUUCCUAAGUCCAGGCCACAUAACGUUCUGAAAAUUUUCAUCACCCAAGUGAAUGAGCACAGCGGUUAAUGGGACUCUCUGACCGAGGCAGGCAGCUUUUCCUGGGAUCCCGAGUCUUGGUCUUGCAGUGCCCCUUCGACUGAAGGAGCUUAACACGUCUUCCUGAAGUUUUAAGGACAUUUAAAAUUUGUUACCAUUUCUUUUAUGUAUUCAAUUAGGUUGAAAAUCGUAUUUCAAUUUAGAAUUUUACCUAGGUAUGCCACCUGAGAAACUAAUAAAGUACGUUUGGAUUUUAGUACAUUUCAAGCUGAUGAAACGCAGCUAAUAGCAUGUCAGAAGAAACAGCAGCAGAACCUUAAAUGCGAUGUUCGAAUAGCAAAUGCCUCCCCCCCCCAUAACCAGUUCCUAAUAGGUAAGUGCCAGGCUGGGCAAAUGGACAAGGAUAACGGGUGAAGGUGGGCAGCCUUAGACGUUUCUGGUUUAUUGGAAGUUAUCAUGCACCGAGCUUGCAUGUCUUUUUUAAAGCAUCACCAUGCAGAGCUGCUCUGUCACACUCCUGCCACUGAAAGCCAGCCCCUCUGAGUCAACGGUCUUCUGAGCUCAGCAGAUUCUGAGUCGGAGAGGUGAUUUGCAUGGAUUUUUGUGCAAUCCUAUUUACAAACCAAUUGACAAAAAAGAAAGUGUUC
rnacentral:lncRNA from 1 species